rnacentral:rRNA from 1 species
GACGGACGCUGGCGGCGUGCCUAAUACAUGCAAGUUGAGCGCUGAAGGUUGGUACUUGUACCAACUGGAUGAGCAGCGAACGGGUGAGUAACGCGUGGGGAAUCUGCCUUUGAGCGGGGGACAACAUUUGGAAACGAAUGCUAAUACCGCAUAAAAACUUUAAACACAAGUUUUAAGUUUGAAAGAUGCAAUUGCAUCACUCAAAGAUGAUCCCGCGUUGUAUUAGCUAGUUGGUGAGGUAAAGGCUCACCAAGGCGAUGAUACAUAGCCGACCUGAGAGGGUGAUCGGCCACAUUGGGACUGAGACACGGCCCAAACUCCUACGGGAGGCAGCAGUAGGGAAUCUUCGGCAAUGGACGAAAGUCUGACCGAGCAACGCCGCGCGAGUGAAGAAGGUUUUCGGAUCGUAAAACUCUGUUGGUAGAGAAGAACGUUGGUGAGAGUGGAAAGCUCAUCAAGUGACGGUAACUACCCAGAAAGGGACGGCUAACUACGUG